rnacentral:rRNA from 1 species
GGAGUACGGCCGCAAGGUUAAAACUCAAAUGAAUUGACGGGGGCCCGCACAAGCGGUGGAGCAUGUGGUUUAAUUCGAUGCAACGCGAAGAACCUUACCUGGUCUUGACAUCCACGGAAGUUUUCAGAGAUGAGAAUGUGCCUUCGGGAACCGUGAGACAGGUGCUGCAUGGCUGUCGUCAGCUCGUGUUGUGAAAUGUUGGGUUAAGUCCCGCAACGAGCGCAACCCUUAUCCUUUGUUGCCAGCG